rnacentral:lncRNA from 1 species
GUUAUCAGAUUAUUUUUGGACUCCGCAGUUAUAGGGUUGUGUAUUAAUAUUGGACUUAUUGUUAGCACUACACUAUAAAUUAAAUAUUAUGUAAUUAGCUGCAGGUGAACCAGUAAGCCCAUAACGUGAUUAUAAUUUAUUGUGAAUAGGCCCUGGUUAUACAUUAUGUGUUAUUUGAGUUUGGGCCAGAUGUUUGUAUAUGGGUUUACUGUUUUGAUGAAAUUGGAAAAGAUAGGUAGACAUAUUGGAUAAUUUAGGCUUACUACGGGCCUCGGGGGCCUUAAGCUUACCUGGGCCCUAGUGCCGGUCCGGUCCAUGGAAACGGGUCGUG